AACGUAGGUUCCGAGCGUUAUCCGGAUUUACUGGGCGUAAAGCGCGUUCAGGCGGUUUGGCAAGUCGGGCAUGAAAUCUCUCGGCUCAACCGGGAGAGGUUGUCCGAUACUUCCAGACUUGAGGGCAGUAGAGGGUGGUGGAAUUCCGGGUGUAGUGGUGAAAUGCGUAGAUAUCCGGAGGAACACCAGUGGCGAAAGCGGCCACCUGGACUGCACCUGACGCUGACACGCGAAAGCUAGGGGAGCGAACGAG
rnacentral:rRNA from 1 species